rnacentral:rRNA from 1 species
AGAGUUUGAUCCUGGCUCAGAACGAACGCUGGCGGCGCGCUUAACACAUGCAAGUCGAGCGAGAAAGGGGGCAACCCCGAGUACAGCGGCGCACGGGUGAGUAACACGUGGAUAAUCUACCCUCAUGGUGGGGGAUAACGGGUCGAAAGACCCGCUAAUACCGCAUGAGACCACAGGGGCUGCGGCCCCAGGGGCCAAAGGGGCCUGUCGCAAGGCAGGUCUCGCCCGAGGAUGAGUCCGCGGACCAUUAGCUUGUUGGUAGGGUAACGGCCUACCAUUAGGCAAAGAUGGUUAGCUGGUCUGAGAGGACGAUCAGCCACACUGGAACUGGAACACGGUCCAGACUCCUACGGGAGGCAGCAGUGGGGAAUCUUGCGCAAUGGGCGAAAGCCUGACGCAGCGACGCCGCGUGGGUGACGAAGGCCUUCGGGUUGUAAAGCCCUGUCGGGAGCGACGAACAGGGCGGGUGACCCCCGCCCCUGACGCUAGCUCCGAAGGAAGCACUGGCUAACUCCGUGCCAGCAGCCGCGGUAAUACGGAGAGUGCAAGCGUUGUUCGGAAUUAUUGGGCGUAAAGCGCGUGUAGGCGGCUUGGUAAGUCGGAUGUGAAAGCCCGGGGCCUAACCUCGGAAGUGCAUUCGAAACUGCCAGGCUUGAGUGCGGGAGGGGAGAGCGGAAUUCCCAGUGUAGAGGUGAAAUUCGUAGAUAUUGGGAGGAACACCAGUGGCGAAGGCGGCUCUCUGGACCGACACUAGCGCUGAGACGCGAAAGCGUGGGGAGCAAACAGGAUUAGAUACCCUGGUAGUCCACGCUGUAAACGAUGGAUGCUAGCUGUCACGGGUAUUACCCCUGUGGUGGCGUAGCUAACGCGAUAAGCAUCCCGCCUGGGGAGUACGGCCGCAAGGCUAAAACUCAAAGGAAUUGACGGGGGCCCGCACAAGCGGUGGAGUAUGUGGUUUAAUUCGACACAACGCGAAGAACCUUACCCAGGCUUGACAUCCCGGGAAACCGCCCGAAAAGGCGGCCUGCUCGCAAGAGAACCCGGAGACAGGUGCUGCAUGGCUGUCGUCAGCUCGUGUCGUGAAAUGUUGGGUUAAGUCCCGCAACGAGCGCAACCCUUGUCCUUAGUUGCUACCAUUGAGUUGAGCACUCUAAGGAGACUGCCGGUGUUAAACCGGAGGAAGGUGGGGAUGACGUCAAGUCCUCAUGGCCCUUAUGCCUGGGGCUACACACGUACUACAAUGGCCGCCACAGACCGUAGCGAACUCGCGAGGGGGAGCCAACCGGAAAAAAGCGGCCUCAGUUCAGAUUGCAGUCUGCAACCCGACUGCAUGAAGGUGGAAUCGCUAGUAAUCGCUGAUCAGCAGGCAGCGGUGAAUACGUUCCCGGGCCUUGUACACACCGCCCGUCACACCAUGGGAGUUGCCUGGACCAGAAGUCACCGUACCAACCCUUCAACAAGGAGGAAGGCGCCUAAGGUCUGGACAGCGACUGGGGUGAAGUCGUAACAAGGUA